rnacentral:rRNA from 1 species
CCUCGGGUGGCUCCAGUCGAGAAUAUUCCACAAUGGGCGAAAGCCUGAUGGAGCGGCGCCGCGUGCGGGAAGAAGGCCUUCGGGUUGUAAACCGCGGUAGUAGAGGAAAAACUUCGGUGAUUGUACUCUACGGAAAGGAGUGGCAAACUAUGUGCCAGAAGCCUCGGUAAUACAUAGACUCCGAGCGUUGUCCGGCUUUAUUGGGCGUAAAGAGUGUGUAGGGGGCUUGGAAAGUCAGUGGUUAAAUCAGGGAGCUUAACUCUCUGGCCGCUGCUGAAACUUCCAAGCUAGAGGGCGUUAGAGGUUUGCAGAACGCAUGGUGUAGGGGUGAAAUCCGUUGAUAUCAUGCGGAAUACCAAAGGCGAAGGCAGCAAACUGGGGCGUUCCUGACCCUGAGACACGAAAGCGUGGGUAGCGAAGAGGAUUAGAUACCCUUGUAGUC